rnacentral:lncRNA from 1 species
ACUCAACAACGGGACGUGCCAUAAUAACCUGUAGCAUCGAACCACGUGACGUGACACAAACCGUAGGGCCAAAGCGUGAAACAAGCAACAAAUCUCGCUGGCGUCGAAGGAUGGUGUGAACAGCGUUGUGUUGUGGUGCGUUCCCAGAUAUGCGAAGUAGGGAUGGCAUUCGAUGAAGGCACGCGCGAGCGGUUGUGUACCGCCACGAGUCAAUUCAAAGUGGCGAUACGGCAAUACCUAGUGCGAGGUUGUUCACAUAAGGGAACAAACAAGCGCCGAAGGUGGCUGCUGCUCGCAUAACUGUUGGUGGGAGUCACGUGGUUGGACGGGAUGCGCAGCCAGUCAUCGAAAGCCCGCGCAUGUAGUGACCACUAGCGUUCUGCUGUAUCGUUCUCCGUACAUCGGAGCUACAGUUCUGCACUACAAGGAAUCACGAAACAGCGUCUUAACUGGCGCACACAAAUAAGCACCGCAUUACCACAGCACGGUGAUCAGCGUUGUGAGCGCGUCGGGAAGCUGUAGUCCCGCGGCCGCGUAGUGCAAGCAUCCCUUCAAGCCACAUUGUUGUCUUCAGUGUGAGGCCGGCAUGUUUUCGAACAGACGCAAUCGCAUCCUUGUCAAUGAUGAGAGAUAUUGCUUAUUCUCAUAUUUGCACUGAAUAGCAGACAUUUCGCCAGUUUACGCCCAUCGCCCCACUAGUAUCACGUGAUGCAUGGAGGUUGAGGUAGAGGGACGGCGGACCUUAAACUGUGAUGAGAUGAGUGUUCGCUUUCUCAUAUGGAGGUUUCUCGUAUGGAGGUAAUUUGCACAUCGCGCCACGACGAAGCUUUUUUCUUUUCGGUGUUGGUUUCCUGAAAAGUGCCUCGAUAUCUCGGCGUGCACACCAAUUUCAAAAGAUACUUACCGUCACUCGCAAUGUUUGCUGCGGUUCUACCUGCUGAUGAAUUAAGCGCUACAAGGCCAGGGCGUCGUUUGCUAGUCUACCGAGAGAAGGGUCUCGCGAUCCUCUGCUCUGAUGCUACUUAUGCCGCUGAUGGCGAUGCUGAACGUGCUGUGAGUGAAUAUUGCUCACUCUACGUUGCGGCUAACAAAAGUAGGCGUGAUCGUGUUUUCAUGUAGGCUGAAGCGCGGGGUAUGCCUCUCACGCCUGUUCCGCGUGGUUGGCCCCCGUGGAGUCGGGUAGGCAGUGAAGCCCCAUGGCACUGCCCAGUCAGGACGACUCGUGAGAAGAGUUGUUGGCGAUGCCAGACAUACGUAACCCAUCGUGGAGACUCUUGGCAUUCGCGGAGAGCCGCCGGGCACAAACAGGAGAUCGGACACGUUGGUGACAAGUGUGAUGGCGAUAGGAUGGAGAGAAUGAUUUGGAGAAGCAAGUACUCGAGAGGUGGAAGCGACGGCAGCCGACGACAGAAUGAGGGUCGAGAAGUUGCCGCGGCAACCAAGCCGUUGGAUUUUUGUGAUUGUGGAGCGUGGGUUUUAUCGUCUCAUGGAGGCCAUUCAAAGCCUCAGUGUUGCCGACGAACAAGCACAUCGUUGAUGUAGAACGCAUCCGGUAUUCGACCUAGAGAAUGAGGAGUUUAAUGCUUCGCGCAUAUGGUGGGCCCGCAGCCUGCAGGGGGCAGCAGGUGAAGUUGCCGCUAGAAAGGUCCAGGAGGGGAACUGGUGGGGGAAGGUCAUGUCGCCGUGAUUGCUAGUGUUGCUCUGUCCAGCAGGCUCGUGACUUACGACAACAAACUCGGCGUGUAGUGGGGCUUGCCGGAUGUGCGUAUCAAAGGGCGUAUAGCGGGGCGUUGCUUGCUGCUGUCGAUCGUUAAUCUGGG